AAUUCGGAUUAAUACUCCAUAAAGUCAAUUUAAGGCAUCUUUUAUUGAUUAAAGCUCCGGCGGUUAGAGAUGGGCAUGCGUGUCAUUAGCUAGUUGGUGAGGUAACGGCUCACCAAGGCCACGAUGACUAGGGGGUCUGAGAGGAUGAUCCCCCACACUGGUACUAAGACACGGACCAGACUCCUACGGGAGGCAGCAGUGAGGAAUAUUGGGCAAUGGACGCAAGUCUGACCCAGCCAUGCCGCGUGCAGGAUGACUGCCCUAUGGGUUGUAAACUGCUUUUGUUUGGGAAGAAACCCCCGAUCGUGAUCGGGGCUGACGGUACCAUACGAAUAAGCAUCGGCUAACUCCGUGCCAGCAGCCGCGGUAAUACGGAGGAUGCAAGCGUUAUCCGGAUUCAUUGGGUUUAAAGGGUGCGCAGGCGGAAUAUUAAGUCAGUGGUGAAAUCCUGCAGCUUAACUGUAGAACUGCCAUUGAUACUGAUAUUCUUGAAUAUAGUUGAGGUGGGCGGAAUGUGUAAUGUAGCGGUGAAAUGCUUAGAUAUUACACAGAACACCAAUUGCGAAGGCUGCUCACUAAACUAAUAUUGACGCUGAGGCACGAAAGCGUGGGUAGCAAACAGGAUUAGAUACCCUGGUAGUCCACGCUGUAAACUAUGAUCACUCGCUGUUGGCAAUACAUCGUCAGCGGCUGAGCGAAAGCAUUAAGUGAUCCACCUGGGGAGUACGGUCGCAAGAUUGAAACUCAAAGGAAUUGACGGGGGCCCGCACAAGCGGAGGAACAUGUGGUUUAAUUCGAUGAUACGCGAGGAACCUUACCUGGGCUUAAAUGCAGAGCGACGUCCGCCGAAAGGUGGAUUCCUUCGGGCGAUCUGCAAGGUGCUGCAUGGUUGUCGUCAGCUCGUGCCGUGAGGUGUCGGGUUAAGUCCCAUAACGAGCGCAACCCUUAUCGUUAGUUGCCAGCGGGUAAUGCCGGGGACUCUAACGAAACUGCCGGUGUAAACCGUGAGGAAGGUGGGGAUGACGUCAAAUCAGCACGGCCCUUAUGUCCAGGGCUACACACGUGUUACAAUGGUCGGUACAGAGGGCAGCUACCACGCAAGUGG
rnacentral:rRNA from 1 species